AUUGUAGCUCCCAUUCGCAUAGCGUUCACUGUUCAGAAGUAAAUGAUUGCAUAAAAUAUAAAUGGCAUUAAAGCAGAUAAACUUUGUGCUGAGAGAAUUACCCAAAAUAGUUCUUUUCCGGCUGCUGCAGUAGCAUGGUGAAAUUCAAUCGCUCCCUGAGCAUUUGGGCCACCUGGAAGUCCACGCCAGUGACGCUCGUCAGCAAACCGGACUUUGCAUCGAAUUCCGGGCGAGUGUAGACGGACUUAAACAUCUGAAUCCGCAGUGGAUAGCCAGCCAUGUCGCGGAAGAGCAGUUUAUCCAGAGUCUCCGAGCCGAAAUAUCGCACCAAUCGUCCAAAGGCGGAAUCGUGUCGCUUGAAAGGAUCAUAGAUCCAAAUACCGUCUCUGGUUAGGAAAAAGCGAUUGUAGAUUUUGUGCUGCAUCCACAACUCUCGACAGCUGCCCUCCAAACGAAGUUGUUCAUCGAGUGAAAGGUCCUUGUCUUGAUUCGCCAGGAUGUAAAAGAAUGUACUGGCUUUCUGAAUCGGUGCAGCCGCUCCGCGAUUGGUCAAAAGUAGAUCUAAACUCAUCACCAUCACUAGAUUUUUCCCACCAAAAGGAACGUCCAUCCAAUAGCGAUUUUCCUGGUAUGUGACAAUGCUCAGCGGCAUUUCCAUACGAUGCAAAAACCACCGGACAUAGGGAUUCUCCACGUCGUGAUGGUCAAAACCCGCGCGCAGCCAAAGUUCCAGCUGGUGCAAAUCCCGAGUGGGUUCCACCAGCAGUCCAUCCAGCUGGGUCAAGUUCAGUCCUUUGUCCAGAAUGAGGAGCAGCAAAAGCGAUCCAAGCACCGCCAUUCGUUCGGCGUUUGUUAGCACAAAUGACUGGAGAAGUUGGCCAGUAUCUAUUCCAAUCCCAUCCACCACCUAAAUCGGCCAAUUCCUGUUUUGACACCUGUGAUUUUGUUUGUUUGCCCGCUCACAAUUAGAGACUCGUUAUGUCAGCUGUCUGGGGUCGUCCAGCUCUUAAGCAAACAUUAUUAUUAUACCCUGCCAUUGGUGGGGUUGGCUACCAGGGCGUCUCUUUCUUGGAGUCACCAUUUAGAUCCUAAAUCUAGAUCACAAGUCCCUGAACAAUAGCAGUGCAAAUAUUUACAACAUGAUUUAAGAGCUCAACGUUAGAGCUUAACUGGAGAAAUAAUUUAAUCUUUGAUUUAACAACUCGAUUCAUUAUAGCUAAAUUUGUAGGUGACUGAGAGCAGUCUUCGUUAUUGCAGGAUAUCGGGCCACCUUUGUAUCCUCUAUUCCCAUUGUUGUGCUUUUUCAUUCAUGGCCAAAUCAAGUAGACUCACCUGAACACGGAAAUCAAAAUAGAAGCCGAGGGGAAACUCGACGACGAUUUUUCCCACAGCGAGAUUUUCCGCUGGUCAAGCUAAGCGAAGCGACAGUUAUACAGUGAGAAGAGCUCAAAAUAACGCACUAAUUCACUAGCUUCCACUAAAAAGUUUCGUGUUGAACUCGCCGUUUCCUUGUUCAGGACCCCAUCGGCCGUAUACACAACAUAUAUAUUGAUAUUCAUGCAGUGCCACUUGUAUAUGGACACCGAGUGCCCAAGUGCCCGAUGUCCGAUAACCGCUGGCUGUUGGCUGUUGGCUGUUAGAUGGUAGAGCAACAAAAAGCAUCAAUAAACUUCGUCUUGGGUAGUUUUCAAAAUGAAAAAUAAAUUGCAAAAUUGAAAAAGCAA